rnacentral:rRNA from 1 species
UACGGAGGGUGCGAGCGUUGUCCGGAAUCAUUGGGCGUAAAGGGCGCGUAGGUGGCUUCUUAAGCGUGCGGUGAAAGCCUGGGGCUCAACCCCGGGUCGGCCGUGCGAACUGGGGGGCUGGAGCACUGUAGAGGCAGGCGGAAUUCCGGGUGUAGCGGUGAAAUUCGUAGAUAUCGGGAGGAACACCUGUGGCGAAGGCGGGUCUCUGGGCCGAUACUGACGCUGAGGAGCGAAAGCGUGGGGAGCAAACAGG